rnacentral:lncRNA from 1 species
AAAAGCUGCGUUUCCUUCCUCCAGCGCCCAGCGUGCAGUACUGGCCACUAGAGGACAUCCCAGACCUGGGCAACUGCUGGCCCCAUUCACAAAGCCACGCUGACGCCAAGGUCCUAGUCUGCCUCGAUUCAAUAUUAGAGCUGACAGGUUUUUAGAAAAAUAUCCGGUAAUCUACACUCAGACAAAAGGAUGGAAAAUUCUUCAUCUCGGAAACCAGCAUGGUGGUACCUACAGAAGCACAUUAGAUAUGACAAGGAUGCACAACAUGAAGAGACAACUCAUUUUCAGAGACUGCAGCAUGAGGAGCUCCGUUGAGGUUUCUUGGAGCAGCCCUCGUUCUGCAACUGGUGAAGCAAGACAGGGGAAGGGAGGGAGCAGAUUUCCACCUGAAUUUCUUCACGUGCUUGAAGACGAGGAGUUUCUGCUAACUGCUGCCAGGCCAGGAGCUGGGACUGCCCAAGCCACCGACACCCAGUGGUCCCAGACACGCAAACCAGCACCAGAACCCGAGCAAGUCUCCAGCUUCCUAGAGAAACAGCUUGCUCUUGUUACGUGGACACAGGGUGCCAAUACCACGGAGUCCCAAUCUAAACCAGGUCCCCUAGGCAUGGCAGGAAUAAGAAUCAUCAUCUCCAGAUUUCAUGGGUCUGGUUGAUCUGCAAGAAGCAAGACUGGGACUAACAAAUCUGUUGGUACUUUAACAUAUUUGUGCUUUUGUUCUUUCUGAGCUCCUUUCCACCAGCCUUACCUCAGUGUGACAGUCCUAGGGGUUGAGUAAGAGACCUUGGCUUUACCUGCCAUGGUGAGAUUUGAGCUGUCUUGUUAAAAGUUCAGCAUGCAGGGCUGGCUUUACUCUGACAAAGCCAUGCUGCCUCAAGGCAAUUCAAAAGGUACUGCAGAAGCCUGGAGAAAGCACCAUUUCUGCACUGUUUUUUUACAAAAAAAAAAAAAAAAAGUGGUGAGAGAUCUGUGAGCAUGGCUUUAAUGAGCUGCAAACAUGGCACAAUGAUUCAAUAUGAGCCAGAAAUUAGUCAGGCUGAGUAGCAAAAUGACACUUUCU